AUGUGUCGCUCGCACGCUGCGUUUCCUCCGCGCCGUCCGCACCCACCUGACGACCGCUCGCUAUGGGUGGUCAGCC
rnacentral:sRNA from 1 species